AUGACAGUAGCAAACCAGGUUUUUGUUUUAACUUUACUAGCGGAAGACAUGGCAGAGUGUGUGGGUGGCCCAGGGUCUUUCUGGACCAUCCCUCAGAGUGGACGCGACGCCGCCUUCUGGCUCCUGCACUACAUGGUCCUUGGUUCUACAGAUAAUCUGCAUCAUCACUGCGCUUACGGCAGCAGCAAGGAAAGCCCUGCACACAUUUCUAUUCAGACAACGUGCCUGCGUUCAAUGAACGAUGUCUUGGAGGAAGCGAGAGUUGAAAAGCACAGACUGUGGGAGAGAUAGAAAUGCUUCAAAACAAUAGCUACAACCCCUACACCGCAAGGUGUCGUCUGGAGCAGUAAACUAGGACUCCAGCCAAACAUGAUGGAGAGCGGCCCCUGAGCGGCACAUGUGCCCACACAAAACACCAGUCAAGGGCUGGGUGAAGAGUGCCUUCAGGCCUUGGUUACAUCUGUUAUUAUAUCACUCCAGUGGUCUUUCCAGAAUAGCAGAUGAUUUGGCAUGAAGUGGACACUGCAGGUGUCGCUCUCAGAUUACAGAUUAAACCACACGUCAUCAGUGCCAAACCUCAUGAAAGUUCGUCCCAGCGUCCAUAGGGUGUGUUGAAAACACACACCGGCACAGCUGCAGGACACAAUCAAAUUAGUGGCACUGGCAGCCGGUGUGCAGCUUAACACCUAUACACAUUAAAUGAACGGGACAAAAGCUGCGGGACAGAUGCUGCCCUUGUCCGCUUCCUCUCGUCGUACCAAAGCCAGCUGGAAAGAAGAUGGGAUUGGGGCAUGAUUGUUUUUGUCUUUUUUUCCUGAUGUGGCCUCUCUGAACUACUGUCGCCUUUUCUUAACACUACUUCUUCACUCUUUUUUAUUUAUUAAAAAACAAUCCUCCUUCUAUCAGAACAGCACAUACACCAGGGAUACUUUGAAAACUUCUCAGAAGCUGAAAACUAUUUGAACUUUUUCUAUUCCUCUGGACACUGGAGAAAAGGCCCGCACUGGGACUCAGCUGUUACAUUUUCAUCUUUUAUUUUGGUCUUUUUGAAAUGCACUGUUCUUCUGUCAAAAUGAUUAACUUUGGAGGCACAGCGAGUUCAAAUAGUUUGCGUCUGGCAAAAGUUUAAGAGGGAGGGUUUUUGCUGCUAGUAACCGGGACCCUUAGUGGAGCCAGCAGGCAGGCAAAGACAAUAGAUUGAAAAGCACUGGGAAAGGAAAGCAAGACCUUGAGACUGAAGGGAAGAUAUAAUGUGAAGUGAACAGCAUUAGGAGACAGACGAGGAAUAGUCAACUGAAAACCGAAAGAAGUCGCCUCAAAGAAAAGAGUAGAUGGAGAAAAACCUGAGAAAGUUUUUUUUCUUGUAACCCUGUUGUAGUCGUGAUGGAACACCCUUUAAGCCAGGCGUCCUCCUUCUGUCUCCUCCUCUGCCCCCUCCCUUCUGCCCUCCCUCUCCGCUCUGCUCUGCUCUAGCCCGCCCGCUCUCCACAUUGCUCCAGUGCAUCGACAGCGACACAACGCCACACAGCCGAGCUCCUGCCGCUUCUACAGAUGGCAUCCAAACUGAGGAAGACGCGCUGCGUCCAUCUUCACCGCUCUCUGGAUUUGACUGAGAAUGCACUGCAGAGCUUGUAGACAGAGAGGGAAAAGAAAGAGAAGAGCUGCAGUGGAGGCCAGAGAGAGGGGAGUUAGAGAGGACGUAACUGCCAGAGUUUAAGAGUGGGGGGGGGAUAAAUAAGUCAAGAAUAGAGCUUAUCUGUGGGACGGCUCGAGUGGGACAGGCAGAGUGGGUGAUCCCGUGGUGCACUGUGUGAGCCAGGGGGUGGUCCCAGUCACACUGACCCGGACCUGGGGGUGGCUCAGCGGAGGCCGUGGACUCGGGACAGUGGCAGGCCCAGGAGUGGGGGG
ensembl:lncRNA